rnacentral:rRNA from 1 species
GAUGAACGCUGGCGGCGUGCCUAACACAUGCAAGUCGAACGGAGAUUCCGGACGGACGUUUUCGGAUGGAAGCCUGUAAUUCUUAGUGGCGGACGGGUGAGUAACGCGUGGGCAACCUGCCCUAUACAGGGGGAUAGCAGCUGGAAACGGCUGGUAAGACCGCAUAAGUCGGUUAAAUCGCAUGAUUUGUUCGGCAAAUGAGCAAUCAGGUAUAGGAUGGGCCUGCGUCCGAUUAGCAAGUUGGCAGGGUAAAAGCCUACCAAAGCGACGAUCGGUAGCCGGACUGAGAGGUCGGACGGCCACAUUGGGGCUGAGACACGGCCCGGACUCCUACGGGAGGCAGCAGUGGGUGAUAUUGCACAAUGGAGGAAGCUCUGAUGCAGCGACGCCGCGUGAGUGAAGAAGUAUUGCAGUAUGUAAAGCUCUAUCAGCAGGGAAGAUGAUGACGGUACCUGACUAAGAAGCCCCGGCUAACUACGUG